rnacentral:rRNA from 1 species
UAAUUGGGAAGCGGGGCUUCGGCCCUGUCUGCACCCUUUGUCUUUGCGUACUUCUUGUUUCCUUGGUGGGCUUGCCCGCCAAAAGGACACUAUACAACCACUUGUAAUUGCAAUCAGCGUCAGAAAAACUUUAAUAGUUACAACUUUCAACAACGGAUCUCUUGGUUCUGGCAUCGAUGAAGAACGCAGCGAAAUGCGAAAAGUAGUGUGAAUUGCAGAAUUCAGUGAAUCAUCGAAUCUUUGAACGCACAUUGCGCCCCUUGGUAUUCCAUGGGGCAUGCCUGUUCGAGCGUCAUUUGUACCCUCAAGCUCUGCUUGGUGUUGGGUGUUUGUCCCGCCGCGUGCGUGGACUCGCCUUAAAGCAAUUGGCAGCCGGCAUACUGGUCUUGGAGCGCAGCACAAUUUGCACUUCCUGCCAGCAUGGCGGCGUCCACAAGCCUAAUUUUUUGCUCUUGACCUCGGAUCAGGUAGGGAUACCCGCUGAACUUAAGCAUAUCAAAAGCCCGGGAGGAA